UACAGAGGGGGCAAGCGUUGUUCGGAAUUACUGGGCGUAAAGGGCGCGUAGGCGGCCUGCUAAGUCGAACGUGAAAUCCCCGGGCUCAACCCGGGAACUGCGUCCGAUACUGGUUGGCUUGAAUCCGGGAGAGGGAUGCGGAAUUCCAGGUGUAGCGGUGAAAUGCGUAGAUAUCAGGAGGAACACCGGUGGCGAAAGCGCUCAUCUGGCCCAAUACUGACGCUGAGGCGCGAAAGCUAGGGGAGCAAACGGG
rnacentral:rRNA from 1 species